GAUAAACGCUGGCGGCGUGCAUUAUGCAUGCAAGUCGAACGGGUCACUUCGGUGACUAGUGGCGGACGGGUGAGUAACACGUAAGCAACCUGCCCCUAAGUAGGGAAUAACUCUGAGAAAUCGGAGCUAAUACCGUAUGUAAUGACUGAGGUAAUGCUCAGUCAUUAAAGCCUUCGGGCGCUUGGGGAGGGGCUUGCGGCCGAUUAGCUAGUUGGUAAGGUAACGGCCUACCAAGGCGACGAUCGGUAGCUGGUUUGAGAGGACGAUCAGCCACACUGGGACUGAGAUACGGCCCAGACUCCUACGGGAGGCAGCAGCAAGGAAUAUUGUGCAAUGGGCGAAAGCCUGACACAGCGACGCCGCGUGGGGGAUGAAGGCCUUCGGGUCGUAAACCCCUUUUCCCAGGGAAGAAUGAUGACGGUACCUGGGGAAUAAGUCUCGGCUAACUACGUGCCAGCAGCCGCGGUAAUACGUAGGAGGCGAGCGUUAUCCGGAUUUACUGGGCGUAAAGAGGGCGUAGGCGGCUUAUCAAGUCGAAUGUAAAAUCUCCCGGCAUAACCGGGAGCGACCAUACGGUACUGGUAGGCUAGAGUGCAGUAGAGGGAGGUGGAAUUCCCGGUGUAGUGGUGAAAUGUGUAGAUAUCGGGAGGAACACCAGUGGCGAAGGCGGCCUUCUGGGCUGUUACUGACGCUGAGGCCCAUAAGCGUGGGGAGCAAACAGGAUUAGAUACCCUGGUAGUCCACGCUGUAAACGAUGGACACUAGGUAUGGGGAGUAUCGACCCUUUCCGUGCCGAAGCUAACGCUUUAAGUGUCCCGCCUGGGGACUACGGUCGCAAGACUA
rnacentral:rRNA from 1 species